rnacentral:rRNA from 1 species
ACGGGGGAGUAACACGUGAGUAACCUGCCCUUAACUCUGGGAUAAGCCUGGGAAACUGGGUCUAAUACCGGAUAGGAGCGUCCACCGCAUGGUGGGUGUUGGAAAGAUUUAUCGGUUUUGGAUGGACUCGCGGCCUAUCAGCUUGUUGGUGAGGUAAUGGCUCACCAAGGCGACGACGGGUAGCCGGCCUGAGAGGGUGACCGGCCACACUGGGACUGAGACACGGCCCAGACUCCUACGGGAGGCAGCAGUGGGGAAUAUUGCACAAUGGGCGCAAGCCUGAUGCAGCGACGCCGCGUGAGGGAUGACGGCCUUCGGGUUGUAAACCUCUUUCAGUAGGGAAGAAGCGAAAGUGACGGUACCUGCAGAAGAAGCACCGGCUAACUACGUGCCAGCAGCCGCGGUAAUACGUAGGGUGCGAGCGUUAUCCGGAAUUAUUGGGCGUAAAGAGCUCGUAGGCGGUUUGUCGCGUCUGUCGUGAAAGUCCGGGGCUUAACCCCGGAUCUGCGGUGGGUACGGGCAGACUAGAGUGCAGUAGGGGAGACUGGAAUUCCUGGUGUAGCGGUGGAAUGCGCAGAUAUCAGGAGGAACACCGAUGGCGAAGGCAGGUCUCUGGGCUGUAACUGACGCUGAGGAGCGAAAGCAUGGGGAGCGAACAGGAUUAGAUACCCUGGUAGUCCAUGCCGUAAACGUUGGGCACUAGGUGUGGGGACCAUUCCACGGUUUCCGCGCCGCAGCUAACGCAUUAAGUGCCCCGCCUGGG